AUCACUCCUUGGCCUUUUGGCUAAGAUCCAGUGUAG
rnacentral:snRNA from 1 species